GGACUCCUACGGGAGCCGGGCUUCUUCCCCGAACUCCGACUGCAGGUAGACUUCAUCCGGACUCCUACGGGAGCCGGACUUCGUCCCCGAAUUCCGGCUGCAGGUAGACUUCAUCCGGUCUCCUACGGGAGCCGGGCUUCUUCCCCGAACUCCGACUACAGGUAGACUUCGUCCGGACUCCUAUGGGAGCCGGACUUCGUCCCCGAACUCCGGCUGCAGGUAGAUUUCGUCCAGACUCCUACGGGGGCCGGACUUCGUCCCCGAACUCCGGCUGCAGGUAGACUUCAUCCGGACUCCUACGGGAGCCGAACUUCGUCCCCGAACUCCGGCUGCAGGUAGACUUCAUCCGGACUCCUACGGGAGCCGGACUUCGUCCCCGAACUCCGGCUGCAGGUAGACUUCAUCCGGACUCCUACAGGAGCCGGACUUCGUCCCUGAACUCCGACUGCAGGCAGACUUCGUCCGAACCCCUACAAGGGCCGGACUCCGAGCUCCUGCUACAAGCGGUCUACUUUAAAUUUCCACUGCUCGCGGUCCGCGCCGGAUUCUCGCGGUAAGCCUCCACCCGAGCCUCCAUCAUGGACGAAUUCCUUUCAGAUUUCUAUUGCAGGCAGGCUUCGGCCGAGCCCCCUCGACAAAUGAUCCCCAUUCAGGCUUCUACGGAGAUCGGACUCCGACCGAACUCCUGUAGCGGUCAGAUCCCGUACGAACUCCUACGACACGCAGACUCCAGC
rnacentral:lncRNA from 1 species